GUUUAUGGCCAUACCAGUUUGAAAGUGCCUGAUUUCGUCAGAUCUCAGAAGUCAUGCAGACUUGGGCUUGCUUAGUAAUUGUAUGGGAGACCAACUAGGAACUCAGAUUUGCGUGAAAC
rnacentral:rRNA from 1 species